rnacentral:rRNA from 1 species
UACGGGGGGUGCGAGCGUUGUCCGGAAUCACUGGGCGUAAAGGGCGCGUAGGUGCCUGUGGAAGUCUGCGGUGAAAGCCCGGCGCUCAACGCCGGGUCGGCCGUUGGAUACUCUCGGGCUUGAGCUUACUAGAGGCAGAUGGAAUUCCGGGUGUAGCGGUGGAAUGCGUAGAGAUCCGGAAGAACACCGGUGGCGAAGGCGGUCUGCUGGGCAGUUGCUGACG